GGAGAGGUGACCGAGAGGCCGAUGGUGCUCGCCUGCUAAGUGAGUGUGGGGGUUAAACUCCACCGAGAGUUCGAAUCUCUCCCUCUCCGCCA
rnacentral:tRNA from 2 species